rnacentral:rRNA from 1 species
UGGGGUAACCUUUUUGGAGCCAGCCGCCUAAGGUGGGACAGAUGAUUGGGGUGAAGUCGUAACAAGGUAGCCGUAUCGGAAGGUGCGGCUGGAUCACCUCCUUUCUAUGGAGA